CUUCGGGUGCAGUUAAUGGGCGUCGAGCGGCGGACGGGUGAGUAAUGCCUAGGAAAUUGCCUUGAUGUGGGGGAUAACCAUUGGAAACGAUGGCUAAUACCGCAUAAUGCCUACGGGCCAAAGAGGGGGAUCUUCGGACCUCUCGCGUCAAGAUAUGCCUAGGUGGGAUUAGCUAGUUGGUGAGGUAAUGGCUCACCAAGGCGACGAUCCCUAGCUGGUCUGAGAGGAUGAUCAGCCACACUGGAACUGAGACACGGUCCAGACUCCUACGGGAGGCAGCAGUGGGGAAUAUUGCACAAUGGGCGAAAGCCUGAUGCAGCCAUGCCGCGUGUAUGAAGAAGGCCUUCGGGUUGUAAAGUACUUUCAGUUGUGAGGAAGGGGGUAACGUUAAUAGCGUUAUCUCUUGACGUUAGCAACAGAAGAAGCACCGGCUAACUCCGUGCCAGCAGCCGCGGUAAUACGGAGGGUGCGAGCGUUAAUCGGAAUUACUGGGCGUAAAGCGCAUGCAGGUGGUUCAUUAAGUCAGAUGUGAAAGCCCGGGGCUCAACCUCGGAACUGCAUUUGAAACUGGUGAACUANAGUGCUGUAGAGGGGGGUAGAAUUUCANGUGUAGCGGAG
rnacentral:rRNA from 1 species